rnacentral:rRNA from 1 species
UGUUAGUCAACUAAAUAUCAGCAAGAUAUUAAAAGCUAUGUUCUUCAAAUCUAAAGAAUUUGGCGGUAAUUUAGUCCAGUUAGAGGAACCUGUUUGGUAAACGAUAAACCACGAAAAAUCUUACCUACUUUCAAAGUUUGUAUACCGUCAUUAUUAGAUAACUUUCAAUGAAAAAGUUAUUUUAAUAAAUUUAAUUUAAUAUAUUAGAUCAAGGUGCAGCCAAUAAGUAGGUCUUAAUGGGUUACAAUAAAACUUAUUUAUUUACGAAUAUAAAAUGUAAUCAUUUUAUUGAAGGAGGAUUUAAUAGUAAAAUUGGUUUAAUAAGCCUUUUUGAUAAAGGAUCUAAAUUGAGUACAUAUCGCCCGUCGCUUUCAUUCUACAGAUGAAAUAAGUCGUAACAUAG